rnacentral:RNase_MRP_RNA from 2 species
UCCGCGCUCAAAGAAUCGCAUUCGAAGCUCACGCAUAGCAGAGAAACAGGACUUGGAAAAGGUUCAAGUUUUCUUUUUCUUUGCAUACCUUUGUUUUCUUCUCAGCGGGAGGAAAACUAAGCUUUGGGAGAAAGUCCCCGGACCACCCUACCUUUUCGAAUGAAAAGAACGUUAGGACUUGCCGAGAGGCGCCGCCAUAAAAGCAUUUUCACUGCGGCUAUUUUCUGCCUCCCGCUCUUCUCUGACAUCCUGCCAUGAUUUGAUCUCCGACCUCCUCGUCGUUUGUAUUCCCGGCCGGCUUUUCCUGAUCUGUUCCCUCUGUACGAUGCGGAUAGGUGUCUGGAUGGAUGAAGAUAUGAGUCCGUCCCCAGGGUUUCGACUAGAUGUCUUGAUGCGGAAGACUGGGGAAUAUGGCCUGGGAAGAACUGAAGGGAAGAGAUGAUGAGGGUUCCACACUGGGAGUCGAUCAGGGUAGUGUGUCGUCAGAGAGUGCAAGAGUUGGUUUUUGGAGGUUGCGCAAUUCGUCACAUGCCUACAGUUAUGCGAUUACUCUUUCGACUGUUUCCUUGCUUCGGCAAGAAAACUGGCGAGCGAGGAACUCGACGGGGCUUAUUCUUGAGGCGCGG